rnacentral:rRNA from 1 species
UGCCUACGGGGGGCAGCAGUGGGGAAUAUUGCACAAUGGGGGAAACCCUGAUGCAGCAACGCCGCGUGAGUGAAGAAGUCAUUCGUGAUGUAAAGCUCUAUCAGCAGGGAAGAAAAUGACGGUACCUGAGUAAGAAGCCCCGGCUAACUACGUGCCAGCAGCCGCGGUAAUACGUAGGGGGCAAGCGUUAUCCGGAUUUACUGGGUGUAAAGGGAGCGUAGACGGCCAGACAAGUCUGAAGUGAAAA